rnacentral:lncRNA from 1 species
UGACGUCAUGCACGAAGCGGGGUUAGAAGAGCGAUUUUAUUGGCGGGCGGGGCGGUGACGUCAUCGCCGGGGCUCCCAGUACAAACCAGUGCGACCAGUAUGGACCAGUAACAGCUCCCAGUGCUCCCAGUAUGGACCAGUUUGGCUCCCAGUAUGGUCCAGUAUGGGCCAAACCCUCUCCCAGUGCUCCCAGUAAGGCUCCCAGUGCUCCCAGUAUGAUUCCCAGUAUCCCCAGUAAGGCUCCCAGUGCUCCCAGUGCUCCCAGUUUGGGCGCUGAACUGGACGCAGCCGCUCAGGGGGGGGAGGGCGGCGCUUUCCAAGGUGGCCACGAGGCGGCGCUGCCCGGCCCGGAGCGGCGUCACUGA